CCUACGGGGGGCAGCAGUGAGGAAUAUUGGUCAAUGGACGAGAGCCUGAACCAGCCAAGUAGCGUGAAGGAUGACUGCCCUACGGGUUGUAAACUUCUUUUAUAAAGGAAUAAAGUGAGGCACGUGUGCCUUUUUGCAUGUACUUUAUGAAUAAGGAUCGGCUAACUCCGUGCCAGCAGCCGCGGUAAUACGGAGGAUCCGAGAGUUAUCCGGAUUUAGUGGGUUUAAAGGGAGCGUAGAUGGGUUGUUAAGUCAGUUGUGAAAGUUUGCGGCUCAACCGUAAAAUUGCAAUUGAUACUGGCAGCCUUGAGUACAGUUGAGGUAGGCGGAAUUCGUGGUGUAGCGGUGAAAUGCUUAGAUAUCACGAAGAACCCCGAUUGCGAAGGCAGCUUACUAAACUGUGACUGACAUUGAUGCUCGAAAGUGUGGGUAUCAAACAGGAUUAGAUACCCGAGUAGUC
rnacentral:rRNA from 1 species